GAUGAACGCUGGCGGCGUGCCUAAUACAUGCAAGUCGAGCGAACGGACGAGAAGCUUGCUUCUCUGAUGUUAGCGGCGGACGGGUGAGUAACACGUGGAUAACCUACCUAUAAGGCUGGGAUAACUUCGGGAAACCGGAGCUAAUACCGGAUAAUAUUUUGAACCGCAUGGUUCAAAAGUGAAAGACGGUCUUGCUGUCACUUAUAGAUGGAUCCGCGCUGCAUUAGCUAGUUGGUAAGGUAACGGCUUACCAAGGCAACGAUGCAUAGCCGACCUGAGAGGGUGAUCGGCCACACUGGAACUGAGACACGGUCCAGACUCCUACGGGAGGCAGCAGUAGGGAAGCUUCCGCAAUGGGCGAAAGCCUGACGGAGCAACGCCGCGUGAGUGAUGAAGGUCUUCGGAUCGUAAAACUCUGUUAUUAGGGAAGAACAUAUGUGUAAGUAACUGUGCACAUCUUGACGGUACCUAAUCAGAAAGCCACGGCUAACUACGU
rnacentral:rRNA from 1 species